CUACGUGCCAGCAGCCGCGGUAAUACGUAGGGUGCAAGCGUUAUCCGGAAUUAUUGGGCGUAAAGGGCUCGUAGGCGGUUCGUCGCGUCCGGUGUGAAAGUCCAUCGCUUAACGGUGGAUUCGCGCCGGGUACGGGCGGGCUUGAGUGCGGUAGGGGAGACUGGAAUUCCCGGUGUAACGGUGGAAUGUGUAGAUAUCGGGAAGAACACCAAUGGCGAAGGCAGGUCUCUGGGCCGUUACUGACGCUGAGGAGCGAAAGCGUGGGGAGCGAACAGGAUUAGAUACCCUGGUAGUCCACGCCGUAAACGGUGGAUGCUGGAUGUGGGGCCCGUUCCACGGGUUCCGUGUCGGAGCUAACGCGUUAAGCAUCCCGCCUGGGGAGUACGGCCGCAAGGCUAAAACUCAAAGAAAUUGACGGGGGCCCGCACAAGCGGCGGAGCAUGCGGACUAAUUCGAUGCAAUGCGAAGAACCUUACCUGGGCUUGACAU
rnacentral:rRNA from 1 species